rnacentral:rRNA from 1 species
UGUUGCGGUUAAAACGCUCCUAGUUGGAGUUCUGUUAAGACCUGCCGGUCUACCCCUUGUGGUGUGUACAUGGCUGUUUUUGACAUCAUUCUGGAGAACUAGUACGCACUUUACUGUGUGACCUUGGGAUCCAGAGCUUUUACUUUGAAGAAAUGAGAGUGUUUCAAGCAGGCGCCUGCCCUGAAUACGUUAGCAUGGAAUAAUAGCAUCGGAUCUCUUCCCAAAGCUGUUGGUUCAUUGGGAUGAGGUAAUGAUAGACAGGGAUAGUUGGGGGCAUUCGUAUUUAACUGUCAGAGGUGAAAUUCUUGGAUUAGUUAAAGACGAACUACUGCGAAAGCAUUUGCUAAGGAUGUUUUCAUUGAUCAAGAACGAAAGUUAGGGGAUCGAAAGACGAUCCAGAUACCGUCCUAGUCUUAACCAUAAAACUAUGCCGACUAGAGAUUGGGGGCAGGUACACUAUUCUGACUUCCCCAGCAUCU